CAGCAGCACGCCUGCACUGGUCGUACGGCACACACAACCAGCUCAACAUCUUCAGGAGGGUUCUGCUGUUUCUGCCGCCUAGCAACGCGCUGG